UGCAGUCGAGCGAACGGAUAAGGAGCUUGCUCCUUUGAAGUUAGCGGCGGACGGGUGAGUAACACGUGGGUAACCUACCUAUAAGACUGGGAUAACUUCGGGAAACCGGAGCUAAUACCGGAUAACAUUUAGAACCGCAUGGUUCUAAAGUGAAAGAUGGUUUUGCUAUCACUUAUAGAUGGACCCGCGCCGUAUUAGCUAGUUGGUAAGGUAACGGCUUACCAAGGCGACGAUACGUAGCCGACCUGAGAGGGUGAUCGGCCACACUGGAACUGAGACACGGUCCAGACUCCUACGGGAGGCAGCAGUAGGGAAUCUUCCGCAAUGGGCGAAAGCCUGACGGAGCAACGCCGCGUGAGUGAUGAAGGGUUUCGGCUCGUAAAACUCUGUUAUUAGGGAAGAACAAAUGUGUAAGUAACUGUGCACAUCUUGACGGUACCUAAUCAGAAAGCCACGGCUAACUACGUGCCAGCAGCCGCGGUAAUACGUAGGUGGCAAGCGUUAUCCGGAAUUAUUGGGCGUAAAGCGCGCGUAGGCGGUUUCUUAAGUCUGAUGUGAAAGCCCACGGCUCAACCGUGGAGGGUCAUUGGAAACUGGGAAACUUGAGUGCAGAAGAGGAAAGUGGAAUUCCAUGUGUAGCGGUGAAAUGCGCAGAGAUAUGGAGGAACACCAGUGGCGAAGGCGACUUUCUGGUCUGUAACUGACGCUGAUGUGCGAAAGCGUGGGGAUCAAACAGGAUUAGAUA
rnacentral:rRNA from 1 species